GUAUAAAUACCGGAUAAUGAAGAGUGGGUGUUAAGGUUUCUGACUGGUUGGAAGAUGACACUGGCAGAGUCUUUACUCUGCACACCACUGCUGACCCCAGAAAUGACCCACAGGAACUACUGGCGAAAGGAGUGAAAAGUUGGCAUCAGAACUGAGGAAAAUGUGCCCAGCAGAUCAGUGGUCAUACGACAGCCCCUUAAAAUGCAGCCAGCAGAACUGGUGUGCUCUGGGUACAGCUGAAGAUACAGAGUUCCCAAAGUGUGCCACUUGCUUUCCACUCUCUUGCUACCGAGCAGCUGGGACUGUGCUGCUCCCCGUCUCUGCACAAGGGGGUGACUACUCUGAGCUUCUUCUCUUCACACCUCAGGAAGAUGGGAUGUCCUCAUUAAUCCAAAAAUCCACCAGAUCCAGAGUUCAUCACAUUGAUAAUAUGUUGCUGAGCCUGAUCUUGCUGGAAGAGGCAGGUCGAAACUGACAAUGUUUGAGUUCACAUCAGGGUUGUACUGUUGGGCUCUAGGAAGGCAGUUAGAGUAAAGUUUGGUGUAUUUAUAUCCUCAUGUAUUGUACUGUGUCCUGUACUGAUCUCCACACUAUGGAUAAUAUGACCAUAAUUCUGGUUAUACCACAAUUAACCUUGUCCAUCCCUUUGUGCGUACUCCAGUUUCCCAAACAUGUCACACCAGUGGAGAUCUACAGUAAGGCUGAAUUAGGCUUAUUAUUAUAUUUCAUUCUUAGAUUGCCCUUUUAGCACACUGGCCCCUUUAAUUAAAAGUUUGCAAACAUGCAUUCCUUAAUUAACUUCUGACCUUCACAGCUGGUUGUGAGACAGCUAUACUUCAUGUUUUUGAGCAAAGUCUAUUUCCCUCUCUCAAGCCCUUUCUCAGUUUGGAAAUGGCUUAUUAACUUUACAGUCAUCGGGAUAUUUCUCAAAAGAAAUAAAAUUUCUUGGUGAACAUGCACAAUUUUUCUCUGCGCACAAAAGAGUUUAAAUUUUCACUCCAGUUCUGUGAGAAUAUUGAUAAUUACUUUUAUUAACCAACUCACAAAUAGCAAAUGUGUGAGGUUAAAAAAGUCUCAUUUGAACUUUAUGAACUCAUAGGUGAAAAAGAAAUUAUUUAAGAGUAACCAUGACUGUUGGCUAAGGAGCCAUCAUUUUCUCAGCAAAACAGCAUCCGUUAAGGAGGUAAGGAUAUUGAUGUGCUGGUCAAAUGCGUCUGAGAUUUUAUUCUGACAAUUAUUUGCAUGCAUGUAUUUGCAUGUAUAUUUAAAUCUACUGGUUUCUGUAUGGAGUUGACUGUGUCCACACAUCAGCUGCUUUGAGGAAUUAAUGUGCUUUACAACCUUUUUCAUCAUGUCAGAAAGGGUAUGCCAAAGCAAAGGUCUCAUUUUUUUUUGUCCUCACAGUGAUGGACGUAAAACAUGAACAACAUGAUCCUAGUCUCACUUAUGCUGUUGUAAAUCAGGGUGAGCUUUGCUGAAACCAGUGGAGUUAGCCCACUGUUUAAAGCAAACUAAGGAGAACCAGUACUUGCCAGUACUUCCUUUUGUUUGGCACUUAUAGUCUGCUCUGGAUGGACCAACGCAACAAAAGAAAAAAAAGUCACUAAAAAAUGUUUGUAGUUGUCUGAAUAGUUGCCUCUGAAUUUCAGCUGUGGAAAGUUGUGAUCCUCUGUAAUUGCUUCUGUAAUCGAGAUCUUUAGACACCGAGUGUCCCUGGUCACACAGCAGCAGGACAACACAGAGCCUCCUCCCUGCUGAACGUGUGGUCGCCCUGAUAUUUUGCAGUCUUUUAGGCCUGUAGGUUCAGCAAGUGCAACCCGAGAGCCCUGAGUACAAACUCCUGAUUACACCAAUUAAACAUUUCCUCCAAGAUGAAAGGCAAAGGGGCUUUAGUGUGCAGUGUUUAAGCCUGUCUCUCCCUUUAAGUCUUGAAAUCAGUUAUUUAUGGGAAGCAGGUGUCUAGGCUAUCCUACCCUUUUCUUCUGUGCAUUGGAGGCAGUGAAGGUUGCAAUAUUAAUUGCUGCAUCAGCAACUUCAAGAUUUAAUGUUUUUCUCCAUUCUGCAGGCAAUGUAUCUCUUGCAUGAUUUCCCUCACAGUCUUCACUUUUACAGCCAUCUGAAUGAUAAGCAACAAUAAUGUCUCUGGAAGUGAUCCAUAAAUCAUAUUCAAAUCCACACAUCCAAAUGAUCCUAUUUUUAAUCUCUAAACUACUGUGGUGUGUGCUUGCUAGUGCAGUUCAAUUGGAAGCAUUAUGCUCACCACCUACAUGUUUCCUUCAAAUUCGUGCUAAUGCAUUAAAAAAAAAAAUAAAAAAAAUUCAACCAGAUGCUUGAGUAAUAACACAUAGAAAAAGUAUGGGCAAUGAAGACCUCCCUAAAUGCUCAUAUGAACUACAAAUAACACAAUGUUAUCAGUAUCAGUUAUCAGUUAUAAAGAGAAUAAGAAUGAUCUUGGGUUUAGAUCACUGCAUUAGAGUGGACAGUACCUGAAUUAUCUUUGUUCCUUUUCCACAGUCACACUGCAUCCAGCUAGGCCUUGAACACUUCCAGGGAUGGGGCAACCACAGCUUCACUGUGCCAGUGACUCACUAGACUGUAUUUUGUAUUGAAGAUUAAAAAUAGUCCCACGACACUAUGUACUUUUCUUCUGGAACAUCCAUCAUUUGUUGUUGUGGUCUUUGUAGAGGUAUUCCUGGAACUAAUACUUUAGCUUUAUUGUGACUACAGCUGAAAUUUCCUUUCUUUCUUUAGCUCCUCUCAGGCAGUCCAGUGGGAUCUUCUCAAGAUAAAACUAGAAGUGGUGCCAAGGCUUCACCCGGCAUCCUUAUUCUGGAAUGGCUAUGUCCCUCGUGGAAGUUUCUAGGGAUCUCUUGCAUCCCUUGUCUGUCUGUGUCUGGGGGGCCUCAGCAUUAGAAAGACAUGGACCUAUUAGAGUAGGUUCUGAGGAGGCCACAAAG